UGCUAAAAGCCACACAGUUAGAAUUUAACUUCUGUGCUGUGAUCCCCAACUCUUAUAAUCUCAGUGUGGAGCCCAUCUCUCUCAUCUGGCAGACUUGACAAGGGCUCCCAGAGCAGGCAGGGUUUCAAGGGGAAAUGGCUGGUUUCCUCUCAGAGCUGGUUCAAUACCGGAGGCUGUUGCUGAUGCUUGUGGUGCUGGGGAUUGGUGGAACUCACCUGUCUGGCUUCCAAAUGUCUGUCAUCAAUUACACUUCUCCGUACAUUCAGAAGUUUAUCAAUGAAACGUGGCUGGAGCGCUAUGGUUCUGUGCUGCCCCAGGAGAGGCUGAUGCUGCUGUGGUCCCUCAUCGUGUCUGUGUACUGCAUGGGGGGCAUGAUAGGCUGCCUGUGCAGUGGCUGCCUGACUGCAGCUUUUGGGAAGAAGAAAAGUCUGCUCUUCAACGACGUGGUGCUGGUAACAGCAGCGCUGCUCACUGCCUCCAGCAGGAGAGCCAAGGCCUUUGAGAUGAUCCUGGCUGGGCGUUUCCUCGAGGGCAUCGCUGCCGCUUUAGCACUCUCCUGUCUUCUCCCUUUAGGGAUACACAUGAAUGCCCAUGUUCAGUAUGCUGGAGAGAUCUCCCCUAAGAAGCUGCGUGGGUUUAUAAACGUGACCUCCACGGUGUUUCUCGCACUAGGAAAAACUGUAGCACGAAUUCUUGGAUUAAGAGAACUUUUAGGGACUGAAGACAUGUGGAACCUGCUCUUGUCCUUCUCUGGGCUGGUGGCAUUGAUUCAGCUGAUCUUUUUGCCAUUCUUCCCUGAGUCCCCACCCUAUCUCUUGCUGCAAAAAGAAGACAAAGCUGGUUGCUUAAAAGCCAUGAAGCAACUCUGGGGAGAAGGGAAUUAUCAAACAGAAUUUGAUGACUUGAUGAAGGAAAAGGCCAUAACAAAGGGCACCAAAAUCAUGAAUGUCCUGGAGGUGCUGAGAGAAGGAUCUGUGCGCCCACAGCUGUGCACCAUGCUCCUCCUUCUGCUGAGCCUGCAGCUCUGUGGCCUCAGUGCAAUCACCUUUUACACCUCAGAAAUUUUUGAAACAGCCAACCUGCACGAAAGCAUAAUCCCAUAUGUAUCUCUAGGAGUUUCAAUCUCUGAACUCAUCUCUAUCAUAUUCUGUAGCUCCAUCAUCGAUCGCUGUGGGCGCCGCCUGCUCCUGUGUGGGGGUUAUUUGCUGAUGGCUCUGAUCCUGGUGCUGCUUGAAACCAGCCUUCUGCUGAGUGUAAGCAAAUGUCCUGCAGGAGUGGGCCUGCAGCAGAAUCCUCUGUGCAGGACAGCAGCCCUUGCUUCAUGUCCAAACCAGCAGGAUCAGUUCCUCUGGCUGAGGUACUGCAGUGUCAUUCUCAUCUUUCUGUUCAUCAUUGCUUAUGGACUGGGACCAGCUGGAGCUGUUGUGGCUGUCAUGAAUGAAAUCUUCACCCUGUCAACAAGGGCCUCUGCUUUUGUAAUUGGUGGAAUCAUCAUUUGGCUGGGCCUCACCUUCACUGGGAUGGUUUUCCCCUUUGCUGUAAUGCUUCUUGGUCCUUUUUGCUUCCUCAUCUUUGUUGCUGUCCUGGUCAUUUCAGUGGUUCUUAUCUACCUGUUCCUCCCAGAAACAAAAGGGAAGUCAACCUCUGAAAUCACAGAGAAAUUCAAAAGCUGCAGGUUUAAGAGGAAACAUCAUCAGCCUGUGGAGAUGUAUGCUGCUGAAGAAAAGACAUUUUGCACCAGGCUCUGAUAAACCACCAAAAGUUCCUGCCGGAUUUAUCCCGGCUGAUUUACGGCCUGGAAAGGCUCGGGGAUGGCCUUGGGCAGCCCACACUUCAAAGGACGAGAAGAGGCUUCAGGAGCUGCUCUCAGCUGGAGCCCUGCAGAGGGACUGUCCAUCCUGUCACCCAGCACCAAGCUGCUUUGAAAACUGCCUUGGAUCCCUCUGGCCCUUCUUGUGAAGUGGCUGCCUCUGCCACAGCUCCAGUGUCUCCUGCAGAAGCCAGGUUGCUUUGCUGGGCUCCUCCUCUCUUCGUGGCCUUUCCCUCUCCUCAUCCUCAUCCUCCCAAAGCACAGCAAGCCAAAGUGCCAGCCCUCAGGAGCCCUGCUCUCCCCAGUGCUCACUAUUGCUGCAUCUCCUGCAGUCACUGAUAAACCAGAGAACUGAUGAUUAACCUGCCAAUAUUGAUGUUUGUGGGUUGUUGUAAUCCUGUACCAAUGCCUUUCUCUCAUACAUCUGCAAGAGACAUCUCAAAUUAUUUUGACUACUCACCCUACCUAUCUUGCCUUAAAGAAAGAAGAAAAUUUUAACUAUGUUAUUUCUAUUGCUGUUUCACACCUCAAGACUGGAGUGUAUCAUGUCACAGUAACCAAACAAACUGGAUUUCAUGAAGUUAAACUUUGCCUUCAUUGUCAUCAUUUAAUCAUCAUGUUAAAAAUGCUGUAACAGGAGGAGCAAAGAAAUAAAAUAAAAUUUUCUUUCUCUGUUUUA